GUCCGAAUCAUAUGAUUCGAGUGCGUUCUCUGUCUCUAUCUCUCUCUCUCUCUCUGAUUUCUGGUAAAGUUCAUUAAUAAAUUAUAAAACCCAAUCUUCUGUCUUUAGAUCGUCCUAGCACAUUUUCUGCGUCCAAUAUAAGUCAUUAAGGGAUAGAGAGGAAAAAACAGUGUGAUUCCGCGUUGGAGUGGUUAGAACUUGCGGGGAGAAAUGGGAAGGCUGUUUGUGAUCUCUCUUGAAGGAAGCAUCUAUAGCUGCAAGCACUGCCGCACACACCUCGCUCUUUCUGAUGACAUUAUUUCUAAGACUUUCCACUGCAAGCAUGGGAAGGCUUAUCUCUUUGAUAAUGUUGUGAAUGUCACAGUUGGAGAGAAAGAAGAUCGCUUGAUGAUUACUGGAGUGCACACUGUGGUUGACAUUUUUUGUGUUGGGUGUGGCUCGAUUGUGGGAUGGAAAUAUGAGGCUGCACAUGAGAAAAGCCAGAAAUACAAGGAAGGAAGAUUUAUCCUUGAGAGGUUUAAGGUGUUGGGUCCUGAUGGAAGCAACUACUUGUCAGGUCAGGAAGCCCUUGUUGGUGGAAGUGAUGCUGAUGAUGUCUGACUAGCCAUUAAUUAAACAUGGAAAGUGAUUGAAUGUUUUAUUUGUACAUUCUCAGCACCCUCUCUGUUCUUGCUUGAGUUCAUAAUUGAUGUAUUGUGUCGAUCCACAAGAAACACGUGUUUGGAACUCCUUGUAGGCCAAGGAAACCCAGGCUUGGUUCAUGGCAACUAGCCUGGGCCCGGAGUCUCACUGAUUUUACUUUGCCAAUUCAACGUGCAUGAUGGGCCAAAAGAUGGAUGAGAACUUUAUGAAAAGAUGGUGGUGAAAGAAUGAUAAAUAGCAUUGCGGAAAGGAAACGAGUCUUGGCUGCUGUGCAAAACGAAUUAAAAAUAACAAGCCACGUGCGAGAAUGAUAAUUAGAAAAAUAAUACAAUAAUAAGAAAAUACCUCUUUUUAAUGUAUAAUAUUCGUGUGAUAUCGCUAAUAUAAAGGGUAAUCUAAGUUGGUUAUUUUA